rnacentral:lncRNA from 1 species
UUGAUAGUAUGAUUGAGUAUGAUCUUCACCGUUGAUAUUAGGAUUUGUAGGAAAGUUUGGCAUAUGAAGUGGGGGUGAGUGCAAUGUGACGAUGAAAGGGCAAUGGUAGAAUUUUGGGGUAGCAUAUACCCUACAAUGGAAAAAGGGUUACUGAAACUUCAUUGUCGGUAAAAAGAACGAUGAAGAUGGGAUCAUAUAUAGUCUCUAUAACAAUUCUCCUCAUGCAACCUUUCCGCUUUUUAAGGUCAAAUGUUGAAUGUUGGCGUAUCCUUGAUCGGAUCCGUUGACUUUUUAUACCCACACCAUACCUUUCAUGGGGCAC